rnacentral:ncRNA from 1 species
GUUGGUGCCGCAGGCAAUGCGCUGCGGAGAAUAGGGAAACAGGUGAAAGGCCUGUGCGAUCUCGUCACUGUAUACAGUAGUGUGCCACAAAAUAUGUCACUGAGAAAUCGGGAAGGCUGUGGUACGCGCGAUCCUGUGAGCCAGGAGACCUGCCAGCUGUG